CCUACGGGGGGCUGCAGUGGGGAAUAUUGGGCAAUGGAGGCAACUCUGACCCAGCAAUGCCGCGUGAGUGAUGAAGGUAAUUUUAUUGUAAAGCUCUUUUCUUUGGAACGAAUAAAUGACGGUACCAAAGGAAUAAGCCCCGGCUCACUACGUGCCAUCAGCCGCGGUAAUACGUAGGGGGCAAGGGUUGCUCGGAAUGACUGGGCGUAAAGGGUGUGUAGGGGGUUUGAUAAGUUAGAUGUGUAAUACCCAGGGCUUAACUUGGGUGCUGCAUCUAAAACUGUUAGACUUGAGUACAGGUGAGGAUAGUGGAAUUCAUAGUGUAGCGGUGGAAUGCUUAGAGAUUAGGAGGAACAUCAGUGGCGAAGGCGACUAUCUGGACAGCAACUGACACUGAGGCACGAAAGCGUGGGGAGCAAACAGGAUUAGAUACCCGGGUAGUC
rnacentral:rRNA from 1 species